GAAUAUGCUGCAUGGUCAAAUUGGUUUGUAUAAGUGGAAACUGACAAUAUGUGAGAACGCCAUGCUGCAGACGUGAAGUUUGGUGGCAUUUGAGCUUCUAAAUAAGAGCUAAGCAAGUUUCCCUGAUUCUUCUCCCUUCAUUUGGAAACAUAUCAUCAGAAACAUCAAACUGGAGGAAAGAAGCAGAUGAGGACUGAAGCUAAAUAUUCCCGACUCAAUAUGCAUAGCCCAAGUUUUCUUAUGCAACUUGAUUUGUAGCAUAGUUUUCCUGGGGUAAGAAUAACAAUUCUCUGUCUAAAAGUACAGACUCUGAACCAGAGGAAUUGGAUGGAUAAUCCAAUCAACCAGUGGCCUCUGGCUCAAAUGAUCCAAUUGAGCAAUGCUUGCCCUCUUCACAGGACAAUGCUAGAGACAU
rnacentral:lncRNA from 1 species